rnacentral:rRNA from 1 species
CCUACGGGAGGCAGCAGUAAGGAAUAUUGGUCAAUGGACGAAAGUCUGAACCAGCCAUGCCGCGUGAAGGAUGAAGGCCCUCUGGGUUGUAAACUUCUUUUAUCUGGGACGAAAAAAGCUCAUUCUUGAGCACUUGACGGUACCAGAGGAAUAAGCACCGGCUAACUCCGUGCCAGCAGCCGCGGUAAUACGGAGGGUGCAAGCGUUAUCCGGAUUCACUGGGUUUAAAGGGUGCGUAGGUGGGUCUGUAAGUCAGUGGUGAAAUCUCCGAGCUUAACUCGGAAACUGCCAUUGAUACUAUAGGUCUUGAAUCAUCUGGAGGUAAGCGGAAUAUGUCAUGUAGCGGUGAAAUGCUUAGAUAUGACAUAGAACACCAAUUGCGAAGGCAGCUUACUACGGGUGUAUUGACACUGAGGCACGAAAGCGUGGGGAUCAAACAGGAUUAGAUACCCUGGUAGUCCACGCCCUAAACGAUGGAUACUCGACAUCAGCGAUACACUGUUGGUGUCUGNGNGAAGAGAUAAGUAUCCUAACCGUGGAGUUACGACGCGAGUUAGUAACGACGAAGAAGUAGAGGCGNGAGAGNGCGACGGACGACGACGAGGGAGGAGG